rnacentral:lncRNA from 1 species
GCACAUGGCCAGCAGGCACCACAAAGGCACAAACAGUAUGUUACCAGACCAUGCCGACCUUUGACAGACACAAGUGCUGCAAAUAGGAGUUUUCCUCAGAAUGCGAUCUUCUUCAUUUUCUUACUUUCCUGAAUUUAAUUAAUUAAUUAAUUAAUAGUUUGAUUGAUCAAUAAUGCAUCUCAAGUACAUCAAAGGCAUCACAUGUCGACAAUUUGAGACUCAAAAAUUACAACUAAGCAAGUACAAUAAUUGAUAGAUAUACCUAAAUUCAGCUUCAAUAACACUGUGACAGAAGCUUACCUUGUCACUUUCAUCUCUCAUCACAUUAGUAGAUAGUGCCAUCAACCUUUUCCUUCUAUGUUCAGGCAUCUCUAACAAGCUAAUCUGUGAAAAAAAAAGGGCAUGACAUGUAUAACAG